rnacentral:lncRNA from 11 species
UUAAAGGCAACAAAGUUUAGUUAAAACGUUGUUUAGUAAUACAAAACACUUUUAUUUUUUCAAAUACUAGGUGGGGGUUGGAGGCAGGAGAACAAUCCCACCCCCUGACAUCAAUUUUGUGCUGGCACAUAAGUAGCUGGGAAUCAUUGCAGCAGUACUGGACUGAAACAUAACUCCCAUACUAUCACAAGAUCUAGAACUGUAUUGAAGAUUCUGAGUGCCUGGAAGAAGACCUGCUACCUUAACUCAUUUCUAUUUCCCUUGUCAAGCACUGUUGUCUAC